rnacentral:rRNA from 1 species
AUGUUGAAACUCGGUUUCAAUAGAAGUUGGGUGCAGCUCAUGAUGAAUUGUGUGACAACGGUGAAAUACCAAAUCAAAGUUAAUGGGGACGUCACAGAGAUAAUUAUUCCUAAGAGGGGGCUUCGUCAAGAUGAUUCACUUCUUCUCCUAGAAGUAAAUGCCGACAGUAGUCGCGAGCUUAAUCAAAUCCUGAACUCCUACGAAGCUUGCUCGGGCCAGGCUAUAAAUAAGGAAAAGUCAGCCAUCUUGUUCAGCAAGAAUACAAAGCUGGAGGACAAAGAGGAGCUCAUGAAUCAGCUAAAUAUUGCUAUAGAAGGCUUCUCCGGAAAAUAUUUGGGUUUACCAUGCUAUAUUGGUAGAUCAAAAACCAAAGCUUUUGAACAUAUCAAGGAAAAAGUAUGGAAAAGGUUACAAGGUGGGAAAGAAAAAUUGCUCUCAAAGGCCGGUAAGGAAGUCCUCAUCAAAGCUGUAGCGCAAGCAAUCCCUGUUUAUGCGAUGGCAUGUUUUGACCUCACCAAAUCUCUGUGUGAAGAUGUCGGCUCAAUGAUUGCGAGGUUUUGGUGGAGUCAAUUGGAUAAAGAAAAUAAAAUCCACUGGGUUGGAUGGGACAAGCUCACAAAACCCAAAAAGGAUGGAGGGCUGGGAUUUAGAGACCUAUAUUCUUUCAACUUAGCUAUGUUGGCAAGGCAGGCUUGGAGAAUGCUACAAAACCCAUCUUCCCUAUGCGCUCAAGUGAUGGCUGCUAAAUACUAUCCAAAUCAGAAUCUGUUACAAGCGAGGCCAAGAGAUGGCAUUUCAUAUAGUUGGAGAAGCAUUUUGAAAGGAGUGCAGGUGUUGCAAAGUGGAAUCAUAUGGAGAGUAGGAGAUGGACGCAAUAUCAAUAUAUGGGCAGAUCCUUGGCUACCAAGGGGUGUUUCUAGGAGAGUAACAUCUCAGCAAGGCAGCCAUGUUAUCACAAAGGUUUCAGAUUUGAUUGACCCUACCUCUGGCACAUGGGAUUUACAACUGAUUGAUCAAACUUUCAACAAAGAAGAUGUAGAGGUAAUUGUCCAAAUUCCGAUCCGAGAGGGUGCUAAGGACACUCCUGCCUGGCAUUUUGAUAAAAAGGAUAUAUUUUCAGUAAAAUUUGCAUAUCAAGUAGUGUUGGAAAACCAAGCCAGGAACUCUGCACAUGGUGGAGCUUCGUCAUCAAGUAAGAAUGAUCAACAUAGGAUAACAUUUUGGAAGAACUAUGGACGUUGCCCUUGCCCAACAAGAUCCUGCACUCCCUAUGACGACUGGCCCAUUAUAGCUUACCUCUAA